UAUAAACGUAACUCUGUAUUUUGUAUGUGUGAGUGUGAUUUUCAAUCUACCCGAAAAUCGCCAUUUUUUUUACUCGUGCCACUCAUGAUUCAGUCUGCUGCAGUACAACAACGAGGUUAGAGAUUUGCACACCCGAGGCAACAAUCCAAGUGUGCUUUCCGCUGAUCCGAGUUGCCAUACGAUCCGCCAAUCCUCCGCCAUACGAUAAUCGCCCAAAACCCGUCAUCCAGCUGCCCAUUUGCUUCGACAUCUGACGAUCAACUUUCUUGGCCCCAAACUGGGCGGAUAACCUUGUGAUUUUUUACCGGGGCGUGCGGAUCUGCGUCGACAAGUAAGGCCAUCCGACAACCCACUCGCUCGGCCCCAAAACCAACAUCCGGCUGCUCAUCCGGGUGGAUUUGCUUACGGGGCGUGUGGACCUGCGUCGGCAAGGAGACACGAUUUCGUGAGGCUCGUCACGACCAACCGCUACGUGCGGACCUGCGUGAACAACAAGAUCCGGCUGCUCGUCAACAAAAUCCGGCUGCUCAUCAACAAGAUCUGGCUGCUCAUCCGGGUGGUCUUGCUCACGGGGCGUGUGGACCUGUAAGGUCAUCCGACGACCAACUCGCUCGGCCCAAGAUUCGGCUGCUCGUCAACAAGAUCCG